AUUGAACGCUGGCGGCAGGCCUAACACAUGCAAGUCGAACGGUAACAGAAAGCAGCUUGCUGCUUUGCUGACGAGUGGCGGACGGGUGAGUAAUGUCUGGGAAACUGCCUGAUGGAGGGGGAUAACUACUGGAAACGGUAGCUAAUACCGCAUAACGUCGCAAGACCAAAGAGGGGGACCUUCGGGCCUCUUGCCAUCGGAUGUGCCCAGAUGGGAUUAGCUAGUAGGUGGGGUAAAGGCUCACCUAGGCGACGAUCCCUAGCUGGUCUGAGAGGAUGACCAGCCACACUGGAACUGAGACACGGUCCAGACUCCUACGGGAGGCAGCAGUGGGGAAUAUUGCACAAAGGGCGCAAGCCUGAUGCAGCCAUGCCGCGUGUGUGAAGAAGGCCUUCGGGUUGUAAAGUACUUUCAGCGGGGAGGAAGGGAGUAAAGUUAAUACCUUUGCUCAUUGACGUUACCCGCAGAAGAAGCACCGGCUAACUCCGUG
rnacentral:rRNA from 1 species